rnacentral:rRNA from 1 species
ACUCAAAGGAAUUGACGGGGGCCCGCACAAGCAGCGGAGCAUGUGGUUUAAUUCGAAGCAACGCGAAGAACCUUACCAAGGCUUGACAUCCCUUGACCGCCAUGGAAACAUGGUUUCCCUUCGGGGCAAGGAGACAGGUGGUGCAUGGUUGUCGUCAGCUCGUGUCGUGAGAUGUUGGGUUAAGUCCCGCAACGAGCGCAACCCCUGUGAACAGUUACCAGUAUUAAGUUAGGGACUCUGUUCAGACUGCCGUGGACAACACGGAGGAAGGUGGGGACGACGUCAAAUCAUCAUGCCCCUUAUGUCUUGGGCUACACACGUGCUACAAUGGCCGCAACAGAGGGCAGCGAAGGAGUAAUUCGGAGCCAAUCUCAAAAAAGCGGUCUCAGUUCGGAUUGUGGGCUGCAACCCGCCCACAUGAAGUUGGAGUUGCUAGUAAUCGCGAAUCAGCAUGUCGCGGUGAAUGCGUUCCCGGGCCUUGUACACACCGCCCGU